rfam:Triticum aestivum genome assembly, contig: Triticum_aestivum_CS42_TGACv1_scaffold_515994_6BS
CAAAUACUCCCUCCGUCCGGAAAUACUUGUCAUCAAAAUGGAUAAAAGGAAAUGUAUCUAGACGUAUUUUAGUUUUAGAUAAAUCUCUUUUUAUCCAUUUUGAUGACAAUUAUUUUCGGACGAAGGGAGUAGAAA